rnacentral:tRNA from 1 species
GAACCUGUAACUCAGUGGUUAGAGUGCGCGUCUGAUAAGCGCGAAGCCGAUAGUUCGAAUCUAUCCAGGUUCA